CCAUGCCGCGUGUGUGAAGAAGGCCUUCGGGUUGUAAAGCACUUUCAGUUGUGAGGAAAAGUUAGUAGUUAAUACCUGCUAGCCGUGACGUUAACAACAGAAGAAGCACCGGCUAACUCCGUGCCAGCAGCCGCGGUAAUACGGAGGGUGCGAGCGUUAAUCGGAAUUACUGGGCGUAAAGCGCACGCAGGCGGUUUGUUAAGCUAGAUGUGAAAGCCCCGGGCUCAACCUGGGAUGGUCAUUUAGAACUGGCAGACUAGAGUCUUGGAGAGGGGAGUGGAAUUCCAGGUGUAGCGGUGAAAUGCGUAGAUAUCUGGAGGAACAUCAGUGGCGAAGGCGACUCCCUGGCCAAAGACUGACGCUCAUGUGCGAAAGUGUGGGUAGCGAACAGGAUUAGAUACCCUGGUAGUCCACACCGUAAACGCUGUCUACUAGCUGUGUGUGCCUUUAAGGCGUGCGUAGCGAAGCUAACGCGCUAAGUAGACCGCCUGGGGAGUACGGCCGCAAGGUUAAAACUUA
rnacentral:rRNA from 1 species